GCCUACGGGGGGCAGCAGUAGGGAAUUUUCGUCAAUGGGCGCAAGCCUGAACGAGCAAUGCCGCGUGAACGAGGAAGGUCUUCGGAUCGUAAAGUUCUGUUGAAGGGGAAAAAGAGCGGAGAGAGGAAAUGGUCUCCGAUUGAUAUUACCCUUCGAGGAAGUCACGGCUAACUACGUGCCAGCAGCCGCGGUGAUACGUAGGUGGCGAGCGUUAUCCGGAAUGAUUGGGCGUAAAGGGUGCGUAGGCGGCCUGCUAAGUCUGGAGUGAAAGGUACCGGCUCAACCGGUACAGGCUCUGGAAACUG
rnacentral:rRNA from 1 species